CUGGAACAUAGUAUAACAAGAUUUGUCAAUCAAGCAAUUCCUACCAAAGAAUAAAAGAAAAAAAAAAUUGGGGCAAAAUGCAAAUUUUCAAUUUAAGGAACACUCACAUGAUACGUUGGGAAUUCCAGAGGAUGGAAUAGGUGUGGAAAUCUGCAGUUGGGUCAAACCAGAGAUAGAACUGUUGCUCUCUGUUUCCCUUUCCUUGACUGAACACAUUGGUAUGAAGAAUGUAAGGAUCCCCACUAAGGUUCCCCAGAAACUCAAAAUCAAUCUCAUCCCAUGUUGAUCCUUUGGAAGAUAGCUGCAGAUAGAAAUAUACAUCAGCAUUUGUGCCAUCAACAUCUACACGUCCUCGUAAAAAUUGCGGACACCAAGAAUUAAUUAGAGAAUAACUUACAUAGUAGGCAGUGACUGUGCCAGCAGAGUUGCCAUGGACAAGCUUGAGCUGCAUAUCAAUCUCGCCAAAAAGAUAUUCAUCCUUGGACUGGAAACCGGAGCCAGAAGCUUUGUCAAGGGAGAGAGUGAGAACCUCUCCGUUGUUGUCUAUCUUACCACGGCCAUCUCCCCAUGUGAUGUCAAAAUCUUGGUAGAAGUUGCUAGCAGAUGCCGCCAUGAGACAGCCCAUUACGAGAGACAUAAGCAAUAUAUAAUUGAAACUUGAAGUUGAACCCUUUUUUUUUUCUGGUUUGCCUGAGCAGAGAGAAUAUGUUGGAAUUUGAGACGUUAAUAGCUUGAUACUUUGGUGUGUUUGAGAAGAAGGAUAGAGCUUGGUAUUUAUAGUAAAGAAAAAGGUAGAGGAAAAGGCCGCGAAGCUCCGUUCAGCUUGGUUGUGCACAGUUGUAGAGUAGGAAACAUAUUAUAGAAGUAGCUGUCAAGAUUGCACCAACGAACAGGACCCAACCAAAACACAGUUUAUGAUAUCACGCGGUUUACCUCUAUUUGUUUGUUUCAUUUUUGUGUGUGUAAGAGGAAAGUGCAGUCCUUUCGGCUUAUUGGUGCUCAGUUCCUGUCGCCUUGUUAGGCUUUUGGCACUAUUAGCUCCGGCUCACUUCCAGAACCAUGCACACGCAGCAGCACCGCCUUUACUAACCGAACAAUCCAAAAUAUUAAAGGAUUAAAUAUGUAAAAAUCAUUUUUUCCCCAAAAAAAGGGAAAACUUAAAGAAAACCAAAUAAGAAAUCAUGUCAGCACUCAGUUGACUCCAUAAUAGUUCUAUUUUACCCUUAGUAAUAUUAAACAUUUAAUUUUGAUUUAAGAACUCGGAGACAAUCGACUAAGAAAUAAAUGAUAUGUGAGUCAUAACUAUUUAUUGCGUACAUAGCUGGUGGGAAUGCUUAUCUUUAUCACGUUAUUUAAUUUGUCUUCUUGAUUUUGAUUUUCUUUGGACGACUUCUUCUUAUUCUCUUGAACCUCUUCAACAUUCUUUUAUUUUUUGCUUGACUCAAUGUUGUUUCUGUAUUAAAAAAAAAUACCAAAUUUCUUGUCUUGUUCUCUGUUUUUUUAUUCAGUUUUCAUGACAUCAAGCAGUACCUUUCUUUCUUCCUCUUUUUUUCAAUUUUCAUGACAUCAAGCAGCACCUUUCUUUCUUUCUCUUUUCCAAACAUCACUAAUCUUGUCUCUGUAAAAUUAGAUUCUCAUGAUUACUUUUUUUUUAAUUAAGAAAAAAAAUUUAAAUCUUACUCUUUAAACAAAAAAAUAUAAACCAAUCAAUAAGUAAAACACUCAAAUGUGAAUUUUGUAACCAAUAAAAUUUGAAAAAUUGAUUGUUGGUCUAGAGAAGGCAUUCGACCAUUUUAAUGCCCAUCUUGUUGCAAGUCCAUGCUGUUAAGCUCGGCAAAUUUUCAUGAUUGCUUAUAUGUGAAAAAGCUCCUAUUUGUAUGUCGCACAUUCAAGUUAAAUGUGCUUACAAGAGGAUAUGAUUAAAGCUAUAUAAAAUAGAAGAUAAAAUAUCUGACAGACCAAUACAAGACAUGAAAUAAAUCACUAAGAAUGCAAUUGACACUACCACAUUGAAUAUGUCGAUGAUAAAUUAAUGUGGGAAGAGUGUGCGAUGGGAUGGCCCUUGCCCCUCCACCUUUGGCCCUGCCUUAAUAGUAACGCAGCGUGGAUGUACAUUUUGUUUCAAGAAUUAUUGAAUGAUAAAAACUUCUACCAAAAUUAAUCAAAAUUUGUUAUGAUUAAAUAUUAAAAUUUUUUAAGAAAAUCACUAGGGUUAUCCUUCUCAUAAAUGUAAACAUAACUAAUGGAAUAUUUAUUUUUAUCACGUUAUGUUCAUUUGUCUUCCUCACUUUGGUUUUCUUUUCCAAGUCCUUGUUUUCUUUGAAGUGUAAAAUCUGUGUCCCUGUUUUCUGAAGUCCUUGUUCUCUGUCCCAUAUAAAAAUAUUUAAAAUCUCUAAAUAUUGGUAUUUACUUCUUCGUCUCGAUUUGAUACAUAUACCCUCUAAAUGAAACUGAUCCAAGUCCAUCAAUUUGGGGAGAGAAGUAAACUCUUGUUGUUGCAUAUCAUAUGAUAACGUAUUACAUACAAAAUAGGGAGAAUUCUCAAAGAACAAAAGAAUCAUGAGUUGGCCUGAAGAAAAAGAAUUGAAAGAAUAUUCAUCUAAUUAACAGCCGUUAAUGUUGCCUCUAAGACAUGUUGCAUUCUGGAGGUAGACCUUGGGGAAAUCUCUUGGCGUCUGUGCAGUAGUUGUAGAUCAUGUAGUUCUUCUGGACCCAUUGUAGCCUUUGCUGACUAGAGGAAUCCAGCUCCUGAGAGAACCACGCAUUGUUGGUUGAGGCAGAAGAUGGAGAAUUUGAUUUGCAGGAAGAUGCUCCAUUAGACCAAACACAGGCAUUGGCAUUGAAGUUUCUGUAAGAAGCAGUGAAUGGAGCUUGAGUCCAAUCUGUCUUUACCAGACCACCCCUUGUAGCCCAAUCAUCGGCAUUCCACAAGCUGGAGUAAAUUCUCAUCGGUUGGUUCUUUGGAAAUGGGACACCAAGUGACUCCAUGUUUUUGAACUCUCUAAUGGGUGUGCCGUCCGCAGAGAAGCUGGAACACAGCAUAACAAGAUUUUGUCAAUCAAGCAAUUCCUACCAAAGGAAUAAAAGAAAAAAAACUGGGGCAAAAUGCAAAUUUUCAAUUUAAUGAAUACUCACAUGAUACGUUGGGAAUUCCAGAGGAUGGAAUAGGUGUGGAAAUCUGCAGUUGGGUCAAACCAGAGAUAGAACUGUUGCUCUCUGUUUCCCUUUCCUUGACUGAACACAUUGGUAUGAAGAAUGUAAGGAUCCCCACUAAGGUUCCCCAGAAACUCAAAAUCAAUCUCAUCCCAUGUUGAUCCUUUGGAAGAUAGCUGCAGAUAGAAAUAUACAUCAGCAUUUGCGCCAUCAACUUCUACACGUCCUCGUAAAAAUUGCGGACAACAAGAAUUAAUUACAGAAUAACUUACAU
rnacentral:lncRNA from 1 species